UGCCUAAAACGAAAAGGAAUCAUAUGUAAGGGCAAGAAAGAGCAGAAGAAAGAACCUGAUCGCCACCUUAAACGAUAUGCAAAAGCAAACACAGAAGACAAAGAUAACUGAUACUGUUAAAAAGUUUUUAUCUCUCAUAUAUUUAUAAUCUUUACUAUGCUUUAUUUCAAGUAAAAAAUUUAAAAGGUUAAACAGUCUAUGCAUACAUUCCUCACUAGCCGUUAUCUGCUAGGCUUUGCUAUUGCCAUUUAUAUUUCAAAUAUAAACCAUAUUAUAGAUAUGUUUGUUUACAAAAUAUUUUAAGAAAAAUUAAAGCUCUUAAAACAGCAACAGCAUGUGAUUCUAUAAAAUGACCUAGGCAUCAACUACCAUUUCUCAAUAUUCCUUGUCAGACAAAUGUAUAUAAUAAGCAUCAGAACUUGUACACAUACAGCAUACUCCAUAUAUACCACAAACAUAAAACCCACCACUACUUAUUGAACGUUAAAUAAUAUUUACAGAAUUGCCAAUAAUAUCAAAAUAAUAUCAAAACCUACUUAAAAUAAUCAUAAAUCAAAAAUUUAACCUUAAUUUUAUCCAAAACGUGAAGUUUUACCUGUCCAGAGUUUCUUCUAGGCAUCCCCCCCCCCCCUGAACAAGAUGUAAUUUAUAUAGUAAAAUUAUACU